UCAAAAUAUUGAAAGUUUUCCAGUGAGCAACACAAGAAGCGUGGAUACGACUGAAGCCCAAUGCCGGGGCUUGUUAUGAAAGACACGCAAACUCUUGUGCUCGGAAAAUCGCGGUUAUCAGAGUGAAAUAGUGUACCGAGUAGCUAAAAUGGUCCCCACUUGCAAAGGGUGCAGUCUCCGUCUUUUAAAACUCCCUCGCUGGAAUUGGUGCCUGGCACGUAAGUUGGCUCAUUCAUCUUGGAUGCGGAUGGUGCCUGUGUGGCUGCAGCGUAAUUUACACUCUCCCAACCUAUGUGCCAGAACACAUCUAUCCCUGUGGCCCAGAGGCUCACAACGCCAGUGGCCCAGAGGAUGUUUCUUGUGUGUGUGUGUGUAUCUGCGCUGAUGUGGGUACAACAGGAAGUGGUGCUCAGGUCUCUCGGGGCAUGGUUCCAGGUCCCUGGGCCUGUCUACUGUCAUAAGUUCCAGAGUGGUGAUUACUUACUGCAAAAAUAAACACCAUUACCAUCUGGUGCUGCCUUUUUUGUGCUGUAACUUAUACACUGAGAAAAGCUGUAGACCAUCAAAACACACAGAACGAAGAACAAUAACCU